rnacentral:rRNA from 1 species
UACGGGGGGAGCAAGCGUUGUUCGGAUUUACUGGGCGUAAAGGGCGCGUAGGCGGCGUGACAAGUCACUUGUGAAAUCUCCGGGCUUAACUCGGAACGGUCAAGUGAUACUGUCGUGCUAGAGUACAGAAGGGGCAACUGGAAUUCUCGGUGUAGCGGUGAAAUGCGUAGAUAUCGAGAGGAACACCUGCGGCGAAGGCGGGUUGCUGGGCUGAUACUGAUGCUGAGGCGCGAAAGCUAGGGAGCGAAGCGGG